AAAGUGAGAGGAAGCCAGUCCCCUCCUGAAUAUAGCCAUCGUCAGCUGAUGGGUCCCUGGGGGCCCUCCAUUCACAAAUGCUUUUGCCUUUCUUCUCUUGCUUUGUUUCAUGUGCUGUGAAGCAUUCAUCACGUGGUAAUUAAUUAUCUGUGGAUAUUGGUUUGGUUUAAUGCUUGUCAGACCAGAAGGUAGGGCCUUGUUCUCACUGGCCGGCAGAGGGGGUGGCUCAUGGAAGUUUCUACAGUAUUUUUGCUUGCUGACUAACCGACUUGAGCUUUGAGGCAAGGAUAGCCUCUGAUGAGAACCCUGGGGAAGUGAGCUUCCUGGGAGAAUAGUGGGGUGCAGGGAGGCCUGGAGAGGGGCUCACAGGUCUGAGCUGAGGGACAGAAUGUACUUACUCAAGUGGGAUAUCCACAGGGACUGUCUGGCUAAGGAGGAGGGAUGAGAUGUCACUUCCAGAAGUCUUCCCGAGUGCCACGGGUAGGGUGGUGACUCUGUGGCUGUCUGACCCCCCUGCCAUCUGCCCUAUCCAGAGGUAGUUUUGGCCUGAUACACAGCUGAGCAGAGAGAUGGAGUAAGGAGUAGGAUUUCUUGUCUGGACUGAAUGGAGGCCCCCGUUUCCAGGAUCCCAAAUGUCCCAAUGGAAAGUGCCAGGAGCUGCCAAUAGAUGUAUAGAGCUCAACUAAGUUAGCAGGAGAAUCUAGGAGGCAGGAGCCAUCACUAACCGUCCCUUUACAGAUGAAGAAACUGAAACUUUCAACAGAUAACCGGGUCACGUGAGAUUUCACAGCUAGUAAGCGAAGGAUCAGGAUAUGGCCCUCGCCUGUCUAGAGCAUAUGCACCACUGAGCCUCACUGAGAAGACCUUGACCUCUUUAUGCCGGGACUCCCCUGCCAAGGUCCUGGGAUUCCUCAUCCAGGCAUUGUGCUGCCCAGUCCUGGAAUUAAACCCCAGCUUGAGAGGCGGGUGCCAUCCUUCCCCAUGACAACUGCAGCUCAAGAAGCUUCCUGACUUGUCCCGGAUCAUCCAGCCAAGAGGCAGUUGGGACUCCAAAGUCUGGACCAAUACAGCAGGCAACACCAAUACUUGUGGAAAUACUACAGGGAGCCCUGGAGCUCGGAGGGAAGUGCCCAGUAUAAUCGGAAAUGCAUGGCUCAGUCACACUGGGUGAUGGGCACUGAGGGGGGCACUUGGCGGGAUGAGCACUGGGUGUUAUGCUAUAUGUUGGCAAAUUGAACUCCAAUAAAAAAAAUUAAAAAUAAAUAAAUAAAUAAAUA
rnacentral:lncRNA from 12 species